rnacentral:rRNA from 1 species
UUGCGAAAGUAAGACUAAUACCCAAUGACGUCUCUAGAAGACAUCUGAAAGAGAUUAAAGAUUUAUCGGUGAUGGAUGGGGAUGCGUCUGAUUAGCUUGUUGGCGGGGUAACGGCCCACCAAGGCGACGAUCAGUAGGGGUUCUGAGAGGAAGGUCCCCCACAUUGGAACUGAGACACGGUCCAAACUCCUACGGGAGGCAGCAGUGAGGAAUAUUGGUCAAUGGGCGAGAGCCUGAACCAGCCAAGUAGCGUGCAGGAUGACGGCCCUAUGGGUUGUAAACUGCUUUUAUAAGGGAAUAAAGUGAGUCUCGUGAGGCUUUUUGCAUGUACCUUAUGAAUAAGGACCGGCUAAUUCCGUGCCAGCAGCCGCGGUAAUACGGAAGGUCCGGGCGUUAUCCGGAUUUAUUGGGUUUAAAGGGAGCGUAGGCCGGAGAUUAAGCGUGUUGUGAAAUGUAGACGCUCAACGUCUGCACUGCAGCGCGAACUGGUUUCCUUGAGUACGCACAAAGUGGGCGGAAUUCGUGGUGUAGCGGUGAAAUGCUUAGAUAUCACGAAGAACUCCGAUUGCGAAGGCAGCUCACUGGAGCGCAACUGACGCUGAAGCUCGAAAGUGCGGGUAUCGA